rnacentral:rRNA from 1 species
AGUGUAGGUGGCCAUGCAAGUCAGAAGUGAAAAUCCGGGGCUCAACCCCGGAACUGCUUUUGAAACUGUAAGGCUGGAGUGCAGGAGGGGUGAGUGGAAUUCCUAGUGUAGCGGUGAAAUGCGUAGAUAUUAGGAGGAACACCAGUGGCGAAGGCGGCUCACUGGACUGUAACUGACACUGAGGCUCGAAAGCGUGGGGAGCAAACA